rnacentral:rRNA from 1 species
AGAACGAACGCUGGCGGCGUGGAUAAGACAUGCAAGUCGAACGGGACUUAAUCGGUAGCAAUACAGGUUAAGUUUAGUGGCGAACGGGUGCGUAACACGUGGGGAAUCUGCCGAGAAGUGGGGGAUAGCUCGCCGAAAGGCGAAUUAAUACCGCAUAUGAUCAGCGAAGACAUCUUAGCGACAUCAAAGCCGGGGCAACCUGGCGCUUUCUUGAUGACCCCCGCGGCCUAUCAGCUAGUUGGUGAGGUAACGGCUCACCAAGGCUAUGACGGGUAGCGUGGUCUGAGAGGGCGACCGAGUCACACCUGGAACUGAGACACGGUCCAGACACCUACGGGUGGCAGCAGGUCGAGUAAUUUUUCACAAUGGGGGCAACCCUGAAGGAGCGACGCCGCGUGGAGGAUGAAGGCGUUUCGGUUAGUAACGUCCUGUCAUUUGAAGAACAGUGUCG